rnacentral:rRNA from 1 species
UACGGAGGGUGCAAGCGUUAAUCGGAAUUACUGGGCGUAAAGCGCACGCAGGCGGUCGAUUAAGCAAGAUGUGAAAUCCCCGGGCUGAACUUGGGAAAUGCAUCUGAAACUGGGUGGCUAGAGUGUUGUAGAGGGGGGUAGAAUUCCAUGUGUAGCGGUGAAAUGCGUAGAGAUGUGGAGGAAUACCGAUGGCGAAGGCGGCCCCCUGGGAUAAGACUGACGUUCAUGUGCGAAAGCGUGGGGAGCAAACAGG